rnacentral:rRNA from 1 species
UACGAAGGGGGCUAGCGUUGCUCGGAAUCACUGGGCGUAAAGGGUGCGUAGGCGGGUCUUUAAGUCAGGGGUGAAAUCCUGGAGCUCAACUCCAGAACUGCCUUUGAUACUGAAGGUCUUGAGUUCGGGAGAGGUGAGUGGAACUGCGAGUGUAGAGGUGAAAUUCGUAGAUAUUCGCAAGAACACCGGUGGCGAAGGCGCCACUCUGGGCCGGCACUGACGCUGAGGCGCGAAAGCGUGGGGAGCAAACAGGG